rnacentral:rRNA from 1 species
AUGGUCUCUGGCACGAAUCUUGGCGACAUCCUGUUCGUUGAUAGCAAGGACCAGCUGUCACAGUGUCCGUGUGUGUGCAGCGUGUCAUUUCUCCUCAUGUUAUCAAUGAACACGAAACAACAUGACCAUUUCUCCUUCGCGUGUUGUCUGCUUGGGCUACUUUUUUUUUUCCCUUUUGCCUCCAUUUUGAAAAAAAACUCAGAAACAACAGACCAAACAUCACCUAGAAAUACACAUAGAGAUCACCCAGAGAUUUCUGCACGUGACAUACACCCAGCAGAAAUGGUAGAGCAGGAAAUGAUUUUUUAA